rnacentral:rRNA from 1 species
AUUGAGCGCUGGCGGCAGGCCUAACACAUGCAAGUCGAACGGUAACAGGAAGAAGCUUGCUUCUUUGCUGACGAGUGGCGGACGGGUGAGUAAUGUCUGGGAAACUGCCUGAUGGAGGGGGAUAACUACUGGAAACGGUAGCUAAUACCGCAUAACGUCGCAAGACCAAAGAGGGGGACCUUCGGGCCUCUUGCCAUCGGAUGUGCCCAGAUGGGAUUAGCUAGUAGGUGGGGUAACGGCUCACCUAGGCGACGAUCCCUAGCUGGUCUGAGAGGAUGACCAGCCACACUGGAACUGAGACACGGUCCAGACUCCUACGGGAGGCAGCAGUGGGGAAUAUUGCACAAUGGGCGCAAGCCUGAUGCAGCCAUGCCGCGUGUAUGAAGAAGGCCUUCGGGUUGUAAAGUACUUUCAGCGGGGAGGAAGGGAGUAAAGUUAAUACCUGUACUCAUUGACGUUACCCGCAGAAGAAGCACCGGCUAACUCCGUG